AUGCACGCUGGCGGCGUGCCUAAUACAUGCAAGUCGAGCGAACUGACGAGAAGCUUGCUUCUCUGAUGUUAGCGGCGGACGGGUGAGUAACACGUGGAUAACCUACCUAUAAGACUGGGAUAACUUCGGGAAACCGGAGCUAAUACCGGAUAAUAUUUUGAACCGCAUGGUUCAAAAGUGAAAGACGGUCUUGCUGUCACUUAUAGAUGGAUCCGCGCUGCAUUAGCUAGUUGGUAAGGUAACGGCUUACCAAGGCAACGAUGCAUAGCCGACCUGAGAGGGUGAUCGGCCACACUGGAACUGAGACACGGUCCAGACUCCUACGGGAGGCAGCAGUAGGGAAUCUUCCGCAAUGGGCGAAAGCCUGACGGAGCAACGCCGCGUGAGUGAUGAAGGUCUUCGGAUCGUAAAACUCUGUUAUUAGGGAAGAACAUAUGUGUAAGUAACUGUGCACAUCUUGACGGUACCUAAUCAGAAAGCCACGGCUAACUACGUG
rnacentral:rRNA from 1 species